GGGGUGGACAAUCGGACACCAUCCGAAGAAAUCCGACCGAACCCGACCGUGUUUUUGUCAACGGAUCGGACAGUUUCGGUUUGCGGGUAUGUUUGUGGCAAUUGCUUGGAUACUGUUGGGUGAAGACAGUCGGAUUCGGGGAUGAAUUUGGGACCCGUCGGAAUCCGAAACCGACCGAAAUACUAGUAUAUUCUAAAUUUGGGCCUGAUACUAAUUAGAACCCACUUGGCCCAAGUUAAGUGUGAUAUUCAGAAGGGUUGUAUUUAGGAUUAGGGUUAACUUUGCCUCAUAGCUUCCUCACUUCCUCGCCGCUCUGCCUCCACGAUACUUCCUCCUUCGCCGUUCACCGUCAUCCUCUCAUCGUUCCAAGCCUCAAGCUACCACUAUCAUCGUCAUCUCUCACCGUGGAUUGUAGAAUGCAAGGAACUUGAAAUUUCUGAAAGGAUUUAGGUUUGAAGAUAUGGAAGGACUUGGAGAAAUGCAAGUAGAUGGAAAUUUGCAAAAUAACGCUACCACUUUUUUGGAGUCAUGUUCUAAUGUUGAAUGCAAUUUGGUAGUUCAGGAAUUUGCACAGGAGCUGAUUUAUCAACCGGCAUAUAUUUUGAUGUUGAAUGCAAUCUGAUGUUGAAUGCAAUCUUAUGUUCAGGAAUUUGCACAGGAGCGAAUUUAUCAACCGGCAUAUAUUUUGAUGAUGAAUGCAAUCUGCACAGGAACUUUCUAUGAAUGCAGAAAACUACAGAAUUAAAGUGCAAGUAAGGUUUCUAAUGGUGUAUCAAAGUCUUCAGCUCAUCAGUAGCCAUUCAGAGUCAAAGAGGGUAUAAGAAACAUGUAACAAGAGAAUACGAACCACCGACAUGUGUUCCAACUUGCAGUGAGUAUUCCAUGAAAGCAUAUAAGAGGUGGGUGUGGAUAUGAUUCUGCAAGAUGAUUUGGUGGGAUUAAACAAGGGGAAGAACUUGAAUUGGAAAGCAAAAGAAAUUGGAGAAAAAGAAAUUGGAGCUCUAGGAGAAAACAUUGAUUAAUUAUAAUUGGUUGUGUUGUUAGAUUAAAGUUAUAUGGGUUGUAUUAAAUUUGAGCAAAUAUUUAUAGACUCUAAACUUAUAUUUUAUAGGCUCUAAACUAAUAUUCAGUUGAAUUUUAAACUGGAAAAA